GGAUGCGAUCAUACCAGCACUAACGCACNUAAGCGUGCAUGGGCGAGAGUAGUACGAGGAUGGGUGACCCCAUGGGAAGUCCUCGUGUUGCAUCCC
rnacentral:rRNA from 1 species